UGGUUCUGGCAUCGAUGAAGAACGCAGCGAAAUGCGAUAAGUAAUGCGAAUUGCAGAAUUUCCGGGAGUCAUCGAAUCUUUGUACGCACAUUGCGCCCUUUGGCAUUCCGAAGGGCAUGCCUGUUCGAGCGUCAUUAUCAUCCCCUCAAGCCCCCGGGCUUGGUGCUGGGUGCGGCCCGCCCCCCGUGGCGGGGUCCACCUCAAAGACAACGCCGGCGUCCCCGACGGCCGCGGUGCAACGAGCUCCCCGAGCACGCACCGUCCGACCGCGGAGGCCCCGGCCAACCCACCAUCACACAAGGAUUGACCUCGGAUCAGGUAGGGAUACCCGCUGA
rnacentral:misc_RNA from 1 species